rnacentral:ncRNA from 1 species
GGUCUGCAGUUCACCCAGGCGUCACCGGCCCAGAUGGGCAGCUAAACCUG